UGAGUUAACGUUUUCAACGGUAGAACCGCGGACUCUGACUCCGUUAAUCCUGGUUCGAAUCCAGGUUCCCCAGCCA
rnacentral:tRNA from 1 species